GGACAGAUUGACUUUGUCUCUGAAGGAGAAAGAAGAUACAGACUUCUAUCAAACCUGGAACCCUUGGGCCUUCCUCCCCAGGUGUGGAAUGCAGCCACCUAGCUGGAGGUAGGGACUCGGUCUGCCAGGUGCAAGACAUGGGCUGAAGCUUUUCAUUUUCUAGCUGCUCCUGGGAGCUGCCUUUUGCUACUGCAUACAGACACGCAUGCUGCCCAUCAGAAGAGAGAAAUGGAGAAGAGGCUGGACAGGCGAGGCUUCUCUGAAGUGUUGGCAGUCACGGGCUGGAGAAGGCCCAGUGCGAAGGCCUGGCGCUUCAACAUUUGGGCAGUGCUGCUAAUAAAACCUGCUCCUUAUUAUUUCCCUGCAACUGCAAUAAUUGCUUUAAUUCUGGAAUUACUGCAUCCCCAAAUCCGUACAUAUCUGUGGUCUAAGGAACAGAAGAGCAUGUAUUGUAAGCCACCUAGAGAGCCUUUGGGCUACAGGGUGGCAUAUAAAUGGAAUAAAUAAAUGAACAUAAAUAAAUGAACUCUUUCCCACUGUAAUGUGCUACUUUUAGCACUAUUAAGGAUGUUGCUGGAGCAGUAGAAACAGUGGUUCAUGCCCCUUUCUGGGCAAUGCGGAGAAAAAUUAUUUAUACGUACCAUUAAGAACAGACCUUUCUGGAAAUAAUUUAUUCACUUUGGUACCAGUUUGUUUAAGGGAUGCAUUCUCUUAUAUCACUGAAAACAUUGCCAAGUUUUUUAUGACUGCAGUGCAAAUUGGGGGACAUGUGGUCCAUCCUCUGGAGUGAAGAUAUUGCAUAAACCAUACUCAUGGAAACUGUU